rnacentral:rRNA from 1 species
CAGCAGCCGCGGUAAUACGUAGGUGGCAAGCGUUAUCCGGAAUUAUUGGGCGUAAAGCGCGCGUAGGCGGUUUUUUAAGUCUGAUGUGAAAGCCCACGGCUCAACCGUGGAGGGUCAUUGGAAACUGGAAAACUUGAGUGCAGAAGAGGAAAGUGGAAUUCCAUGUGUAGCGGUGAAAUGCGCAGAGAUAUGGAGGAACACCAGUGGCGAAGGCGACUUUCUGGUCUGUAACUGACGCUGAUGUGCGAAAGCGUGGGGAUCAAACAGGAUUAGAUACCCCUGUAGUCCCUGUCUCUUAUAC